AUUGAACGCUGGCGGCAGGCCUAACACAUGCAAGUCGAGCGAGCGGCGGACGGGUGAGUAAUGUAUGGGGCUCUGCCCGAUAGAGGGGGAUAACUACUGGAAACGGUGGCUAAUACCGCAUACUAUCGGAUGAACCCAUAGGGGAUUAGCUAGGAGGGGGGGUAAAGGCUCACCUAGGCGACGAUCUCUAGCUGGUCUGAGAGGAUGACCAGCCACACUGGGACUGAGACAAGGCCCAGACUCCUACGGGGGGCAGCAGUGGGGAAUAUUGCACAAUGGGCGGAAGCCUGAUGCAGCCAUGCCGCGUGUAGGAAGAAGGCCUUAGGGUUGUAAAGGACUUUCAGCGGGGAGGCGUUACCCGCAGAAGAAGCACCGGCUAACUCCGUGCCAGCAGCCGCGGUAAUUC
rnacentral:rRNA from 1 species